CUCCUACGGGAGGCAGCAGUGGGGAAUAUUGCACAAUGGGGGAAACCCUGAUGCAGCGACGCCGCGUGGAGGAAGAAGGUCUUCGGAUUGUAAACUCCUGUUGUUGGGGAAGAUAAUGACGGUACCCAACAAGGAAGUGACGGCUAACUACGUGCCAGCAGCCGCGGUAAAACGUAGGUCACAAGCGUUGUCCGGAAUUACUGGGUGUAAAGGGAGCGCAGGCGGGAAGACAAGUUGGAAGUGAAAUCUAUGGGCUCAACCCAUAAACUGCUUUCAAAACUGUUUUUCUUGAGUAGUGCAGAGGUAGGCGGAAUUCCCGGUGUAGCGGUGGAAUGCGUAGAUAUCGGGAGGAACACCAGUGGCGAAGGCGGCCUACUGGGCACCAACUGACGCUGAGGCUCGAAAGUGUGGGUAGCAAACAGGAUUAGAUACCCUGGUAGUCCACACCGUAAACGAUGAUUACUAGGUGUUGGAGGAUUGACCCCUUCAGUGCCGCAGUUAACACAAUAAGUAAUCCACCUGGGGAGUACGACCGCAAGGUUGAAACUCAAAGGAAUUGACGGGGGCCCGCACAAGCAGUGGAGUAUGUGGUUUAAUUCGACGCAACGCGAAGAACCUUACCAAGUCUUGACAUCCUUCUGACCGCACCUUAAUCGGUGCUUUCCUUCGGGACAGAAGAGACAGGUGGUGCAUGGUUGUCGUCAGCUCGUGUCGUGAGAUGUUGGGUUAAGUCCCGCAACGAGCGCAACCCCUAUCUUCAGUAGCCAGCAGGUAAGGCUGGGCACUCUGGAGAGACUGCCAGGGAUAACCUGGAGGAAGGUGGGGACGACGUCAAAUCAUCAUGCCCCUUAUGAUCUGGGCGACACACGUGCUACAAUGGCGGUCACAGAGUGAGGCAAACCCGCGAGGGGGAGCAAACCACAAAAAGGCCGUCCCAGUUCGGACUGUAGUCUGCAACCCGACUACACGAAGCUGGAAUCGCUAGUAAUCGCGAAUCAGAAUGUCGCGGUGAAUACGUUCCCGGGUCUUGUACACACCGC
rnacentral:rRNA from 1 species